AUGCGGCUGAUGAGCCCCAAAUAGGACGAAACGCGCGUCAAACUGGAU
rnacentral:hammerhead_ribozyme from 1 species